rfam:Flavobacteriia bacterium 40-80 scnpilot_p_inoc_scaffold_236, whole genome shotgun sequence.
GGGGAAUUAGCUCAGCUGGUUUAGAGCAUCUGCCUUACAAGCAGAGGGUCGGCGGUUCGAAUCCGUCAUUCCCCA